AAUUUAAUUAAUUUGAGCUUUAUAGCGCAAAUUAAUUCUCAGCAUUCUCAGCAUUAUUGCGCUACUUAUGUAUCGUGCUUUGCCGCACUUUAUUUUUGUGGUAGGAUUGAUUACUUUGUUAUUCAGCACUUUUCUUACCUCAUUAAAAUUAAUAAUUCAUUCCAAAAGUUCAACUGAAUUAAGAAACAUAACUCAGAGCUGGCCACCCAAGUUUAGCGAUGAACUAUUAAUUGGAAUUUAAUUUGGCUUAUCACGCCUUACCUAUUGUCUAAUCGGUCAAUCACUGAUAGCAUGGUUCUGUAUUCUUUUAAAUUUAUAAUGUACCCAUUGUAAUCUUUUAUUUGCGUCAUUUCAUCAGUAAUAUUAAUAUCUAUAUUCAUUUCAAUCAAGCACUGACUGGGGAACCAGGUGAUGGUGAUGGUGACUCAAGUAAAUAUCACCCUAAAAAUGCUACGGCUCCGCCGUAUGAGUAACUAUCAGCUGAUUUCAGCGUAUGAGAAUUAGAACCAAGGCAUUUUCAGAUUUUUAAAUAUGAUUUUAAGGACAGGAGGAAAUGGUGGUGCGGGUCAUCCAGGUGGAGCUGCCGGCGCAUGUGGAGCCCCAAAUGGACAACCUGGCUUGGCUGGUUAAUAUUUUUGGAUGGAUGAGCGACAAUUCCUCCCCAGGAAACUUCAUGGACUAACCAGGGUUACGCAACAUUGAAGCAUAUUUAUUUAUUCAUUUACAAAUUAUAAUUUUAAAGUUCCUUUGCAGUAAUUUCAGUAAGUAGAAAUAGUGUUUCCAAAAAAUUAAUGGUAUUCACAAAAAUUAUACAAAAUGUUUAGCCGAGUAUACUAAAUACUUAUUUCUACUUUAAAUUUUGGUAUCGACAAGAUCCGCUAGUUUGCUUUUGUAAAGAAUUACGGAUUGUUUUAUAAGAAAUAUUUAAGAAUUUUAGCAAAGUUUCAGAAAAUCUGGUAUGUGGUAACCCAAUAAAUAAUACGAAGUAUUUAUUUUCAAUCA